GAUGAACGCUGGCGGCGUGCCUAAUACAUGCAAGUCGAGCGAAUGGAUUAAGAGCUUGCUCUUAUGAAGUUAGCGGCGGACGGGUGAGUAACACGUGGGUAACCUGCCCAUAAGACUAGGAUAACUCCGGGAAACCGGGGCUAAUACCGGAUAACAUUUUGAACCGCAUGGUUCGAAAUUGACAGGCGGCUUCGGCUGUCACUUAUGGAUUGACACGCGUCGCAUUAGCUAGUUGGUGAGGUAACGGCUCACCAAGGCAACGAUGCGUAACCGACCUGAGAGGGUGAUCGGCCACACUGGGACUGAGACACGGCCCAGACUCCUACGGGAGGCAGCAGUAGGGAAUCUUCCGCAAUGGACGAAGGUCUGACGGAGCAACGCCGCGUGAGUGAUGAAGGCUUUCGGGUCGUAAAACUCUGUUGUUAGGGAAGAACAAGUGCUAGUUGAAUAAGCUGGCACCUUGACGGUACCUAACCAGAAAGCCACGGCUAACUACGUGCCAGCCGCCGCGGUAA
rnacentral:rRNA from 1 species